rnacentral:rRNA from 1 species
GCCUACGGGGGGCAGCAGUGAGGAAUAUUGGUCAAUGGGCGGGAGCCUGAACCAGCCAAGCCGCGUGAGGGAAGAGGGUACAGCGUAUCGUAAACCUCUUUUGUCAGGGAACAAAGGCGGGGACUAGUCCCCGGAUGAGGGUACCUGAAGAAAAAGCAUCGGCUAACUCCGUGCCAGCAGCCGCGGUAAUACGGAGGAUGCGAGCGUUCUCCGGAUUUAUUGGGUUUAAAGGGUGCGCAGGCGGCCUGUUAAGUCAGCGGUAAAAGCCCGGGGCUCAACCCCGGCGCGCCGUUGAAACUGGCGGG